rnacentral:rRNA from 1 species
GUGAGGAAUAUUGGGCAAUGGGCGAGAGCCUGACCCAGCAACGCCGCGUGGAGGAAGACGGCCUUCGGGUUGUAAACUCCUUUUGACAGGGAAGAGAGAGGACGGUACCUGUCGAAUAAGUCACGGCUAACUACGUGCCAGCAGCCGCGGUAAUACGUAGGUGACAAGCGUUAUCCGGAAUUACUGGGCGUAAAGCGCACGCAGGCGGCUGCUUAAGUCUGACGUGAAAUCUCCUGGCUUAACUGGGAGGGGUCGUUGGAAACUGGGUGGCUUGAGGUGGUGAGAGGGGUGCAGAAUUCCCGGUGUAGUGGUGGAAUGCGUAGAUAUCGGGAGGAAUACCAGUGGCGAAAGCGGCACCCUGGCACUGACCUGACGCUCAUGUGCGAAAGCGUGGGGAGCAAACGGGAUUAGAAACCCCAGUAGUCC